rnacentral:lncRNA from 1 species
GGGCACAGCGUGAGGGCCGCCGUUGCUGGAGUUCAGCUUAGGGAAGGAGGACUCUGAGGAGGCCCCGAGCGGCGGAGCGCUUCGGGGGAGGCGCCCGCGCAGACGCGAGGCCCAUAGCCAGGACCACCACCUAGCUGAUUCUUGAUGACAUUGGUCGGGAAAACUCGCCUUUCACGGCCCGGCCAAGGGGCAUUUGGGUGCUUUUGCUGCCCGUGGCUGUGCUCAGCGUUGUGGGAAGCCCCUGGGAGGCCGAAUGUGCAGGAUCACCGAGGGGAAAGUGAGCUUGACAGUCUGGGGACGACGGUUUAAAAAUUUAUGCCUUGCAUGCGAUGUGCAGUGGGUGAUGGAAGAACGUCUACAUGGCUUUAAAAUUGGAUUUAAAAGGCAAAUAUUUUAAAUGAAGGAAAACCCAAGAAGUUUACUUGAUUCCUUAUCUUCCAGGAUGCGACUUUUGUUUAUUUAUUUAUUUUAUUUUGAUGGAGUCUCGCUGCCGUCGCGCAGGCUGGAGUGCAGUGACGCGAUCUUGACCCGGGAACCUCCACCUCCCGGGUUCAAGCGAUUCUCCUUCCUCAACCACCCGAGUAGCUGGGAUUACAGGCGUGUGCCACCAUGCCCGGCUAAUUUUUGUGUUUUUAGUAGAGACCGGGGAAGGUAUGGGCCCUCUUUUGAGAAAAAUGCAGAGUGACACUGAAUUUUGUAACUACAUCAGGAGGCUCUUGAACCUUCUGCAGCUCACUCGUGGAGUUUGUAGAGAUGCGUAAUAAUCCGAAGUGUUAAGGAAGAAGGUUCUGUUGAGAAAAAGUUGGAGGGCUGAAAGGGAUGCCUUUCGCUAUUUCGACAUGUGUGGCUGUACCCCAGAGUGCCCUGGCUAACACGCAAAACCAUGAAUUAGGCGGCUUGGCGAGGCUCAGUGGAGGCUGGGGCCGAGAGUCAUGUCAAAGUUUGUGGGGUUAACCUGCACCCAGUGACAGUCAUGGCGAAGUUUGUGAGGUUAACUCGCACCCAGUAACGCUGUUCCAAUGCAAGGUGUGUAUUUGGUGUCAUCCACGGGAAGAGGAAACAGCAAAUUUUCUCAUGGCCUUGGCAGUUCCACAUGAUGGACAUUUCAUAUCUGCAGUUUUCUUCGCAUGAGAUGGCUUUUUUGCACAAAAACACUGGAAUCCAGUGAGCAAGAAUGAUAGAAUGCAAGAUGGAUUUCCACAUGAGGAAGUGUCACGAACAAGCGUUUUGCAUCUCUGUCAGCUGGAUUCCCCCAUGUGUACGUAUGUGAGAACAUGCCGUGUUUCCUGUCUGUAAUGGUAGAGGCAGCCCUGAUACUGGAUUUUCACCUGAGGAUGGAUAGAUCUUCAGGGUUCAAGUGGGUUUGCAUCUGGACUUUAGGGUGGCCCUGUAGGCCCUGUGUGAGAAGCCCCCUUCCCAGUGAACUUUCCCUUGUGUGCCCGCGUGGACAGCCAACAGGGGGAGCAGUGCGAGCGUGAAGGCAGACAGUGGCCUGGCCCAGUCUGAUGGUAAGUGGGCCAGAGGCAGUGAGUACCAUUUCUUGAUCUGACUACUCAAGACAGGCGCUUCCCUAGGUACUUUCACACCUCAUUGCGAGGUACGUGUUGUUCCCAUUUUACAGGUGCAGAAGCUGAGCUGCAGAGGCGUUAGGUACCUGCCUCAUAAGUGGUAGAGACUCCAGUGUCACCCUGCCCCUCACGUUCGGAGCCCCCGAGGGAGGGUCUGCCGGGCAGCUCAGCCCAGCACUCUGUAAGGAAAUCUUCAGUGCCACUGCCCAGGAUGUCUUCCCGGGGAUUGGGCCUGAAUGUCUUGACCAUGCCGUGCUGGAGGUAGGAGGGGUGUCUUCAUAUGGAAGAACUGUACAUAUUUCUUUGGCAGAUGGCUGAACUCUGUGACCCCGGGGCCUGUUUCAGCCUCCUGCUGUCAGAAAGCAGCUGUUUGGGAAGAGGCUGUGAUUCGGCCUUGUUUGAGGGCCGAUACUCUGAAUGGGUGAGGCUUGGAAUCCUCCCUUUGGAACAAAGAAACAUAAUGAUUUUGCUGAAGGUAGAAUUGGGGGACUAGGCAGAGUGGCCUCCUGCCCUCCCUGGGGUGGUUCUGUCUUUUGCAAAGGUGGCUGCAUCCUUAGGGGAAGGUGAGGGGAGAAGCAGGGAGCAUGGAGAGAAGUGGCUUUCGAUUUUCUCUCUCCUUUUGGGGAGUUCCUCCUUAUGUGGCUGGUCUGGUGCAUAGUGUGAUGUAUUCCUGUACGCAACGUUGCCCUGACAGCCAGUCCAAGCUGAGUCUAGAGCUGGCAAGGUGAGCUCCCAGUAGUAAGAGGGUGUGGGCGGCAAGCCACCCAGGCACCGAGGCAAGAGACAGAGGACACGAGCUGUUCCAGUAUAAUAAAAUAUAAAACAAGAAUAGUUAUACCAGAUAUAGAUCUUAGAUAUGAUUAUAUAUGAAUAUCAUUAAUCAUGAGUUUGCAGCAAUUACUUUUUAUUCCAAUAUUAUGAUAAUCCUCGCUCUAUAAUCAUAGCCUAGGAAAAACCAGGCCAUACAGAGGAGCUGAGGGGACAUAGUGAGGUGUGACCAGAAGACAAGAGUGCGAGGCUUCUGUUAUGCCCGGACAGGGCCACAAGAGGGCUCCUUGGUCUAGCGGUGACGCCAGCGUCUGGGAAGACGCCCGUUACCCGGCGGAUCGUGGCCCAGUGGUAGCAAAAGGUGUCAAGGAACAACACUCACUACUUAGCAGACCGGGAAAGGGGCGGGGGGGGGGUCUCCCUUUCCCCGGGGGAGUUUAGAAAAGACUCUGCUCCUCCACCUCUUGUGGAGGGCCUGACAUCAGUCAGGCUUGCCCGUAGUUAUCCGGAGGCCUAACUGUCUCCCUGUGAUGCUGUGCUUCAGUGGUCACACUCCUUGUCUGCCUUCAUGUUCCAUCCUGUACACCUGGCUCUGCCUUCUAGAUAGCAGUAGUAAAUUAGUGAAAAUACUAAUAGUCCCUGAUAUGCAGAAAUAAUGGUAUAAGCUGUCUUUCUCUCUGUCUCCUCUCCCUCUCUGCCUCGGCUGCCAGGCAGGGAAGGGCCCCCUGUCCAGUGGACACGUGACCCACGUGACCUUACCUAUCAUUGGAGGUGACUCACAUUCUUUACCCUGCCCCUUCUGUCUUGUAUCCGAUAAAUAACAGCGCAGUCAGACAUUCGGGGCCACUACCGGUCUCCGCGCAUUGGUGGUAGUGGUCCCCCGGGCCCAGCUGCCUUUUCUCUUAUCUCUCUGUCUUGUGUCUUUAUUUCUACACUCUCUCAUCGCCACACACAGGGAGAGACCCACCGACCCUGUGGGGCUGGUCCCUACAUCUGGCGCUCUGACGUGGGGCUCUCCCUCGCUGUGUGAAGUUGCACCCUGAGUGCGGGAUCAGCGGAGGAGUUCAACGAGAGAUUCCUGAGGAUUGCAGUCUAUAAACUUGGUGGGGUUUUGUUUGUGUUUCCCCAGGAAAAGAACUACAGCCUGUGUGGGUCCCCUCCCGACAAUUAAAAUUGCACCAUAACUCCAAAGAUGAAACGCUCCCAGAAAGAAAAGGCAAAGACCCAUCGGAAACAAAAGAGCAACUUUCACCGCCUGAUACAUACACUUCAUGACAUCCACAUUGAGACAAAAUCUCGCCGUGUGACCUACAACACCUCUCGUUCAACCCCACCUACUUGGGGUCGAAUACAGAUUUUAUCUCAUCAAACAGAAAAAUUCUUAACAGAAAAAGGAAUCCCAAAAAUGACUGGUAAUAUAAUUCUGGCUGCCUUUAUGGUAGUCAGUGCAGCGGUAAGUAUACCACCGGUCGGGGCAACUCAAAAUUAUACUUAUUGGGCAUAUGUUCCUUUUCCCCUUCUAAUUCGGUCUGUCUCCUGGAGGGACUCUCCAGUAGAAGUUUACACUAAUAAUAGUGCAUUCAUGCCGAUCCCUAAUGAUGAUCGGUUUCCAGCUCAACCGGAAGAAGAAGGUAUGCACUUUAAUCUGUCAAUUGGCUAUAAAUAUCCACCAUUAUGUAUUGGGAAGUCGCCUGGUUGUUUAGCUUAUUCUUAACAGAAUUGGAUGUGGACUGUACCGUCCUUUACAAAUGAUUCUUAUCAAGUAUAUAAUGUGUUCAGUACUAACUCUUUUCAACUUCUCACUGUCAAACGUACCCCACAUGAGGCAUGGAGAGUUCCUCUCACUACCAAAACUAAUAAAACAAAAGGACUGCCGGACUGUCCAAAGAAACCUACAAAUGGGCCUUUUAUAGUGACUUCAAUUUUAUGGGAUAAUUGUAAUGCUCCCAAGGCUGUUGUACUCCAAACUCUAGCCAUGGGUAUUGUUAUUGAUUGGGCUCCAAAAGGACAUUAUUGGCAAGAUUGCUCCAGCAAAAAUACCUUAUGCUCGGAGUUUAUUUAUUCCUUAGAUUAUAUAGAGCAUGGGUGGCAGUCUUACACGAUGAGACAACGGGUGUCUCCUUACCCAUUUAAAUGGAUGGACACAGGUAUUGCUCCUCCUAGACCAAAAAUUAUUCAUCCCUUUUUUACCCCAGAACAUCCUGAACUAUGGAAAUUAGCUGCAGCUUUGUCGGGAAUAAAGAUAUGGAACACUACCUAUCAGCUCCUUCGUACUAAAACCAAAACACCCACAUUCAACAUCACCCUUAUUUCUGAAUGGGUGAUACCCAUUAGGAGCUGUGUCAAACCCCCUUACAUGCUGUUGGUUGGAAAUAUAAUUAUGAUGCCUGAUGCACAAACUAUAGAAUGUCAUAACUGUAAGCUGUUCACUUGCAUUGAUGCAACUUUUAAUCCCACUACAAGUAUUCUCUUGGUAAGGGCUAGGGAGGGGGUAUGGAUACCAGUUUCUCUACAUCGUCCAUGGGAGUCUUCCCCCUCUAUUCACAUAGUCAAUGAAGUUCUUAAAGACAUCCUCAAAAGAACAAAGAGAUUUAUUUUUACUCUUAUUGCAGUCCUUGCAGGACUACUUGCGGUUACUGCAACAGCAGCAACUGCUGGAGUUGCCAUCCGCAGUUCUGUUCAAACUGCUCACUAUGUUGAAGCAUGCCAGAAAAAUUCCUCCAGACUUUGGAAUUCUCAGGCGCAAAUUGAUCAAAAAUUAGCUAAUCAGAUUAAUGAUCUCCGCCAAAGUGUAACCUGGCUGGGAGAUAGAGUUAUGAACUUGCAACACCGUAUGCAAUUACAGUGUGAUUGGAAUACUUCUGAUUAUUGCAUAACGCCUUAUGCUUAUAAUCAAGAUCAACAUAGCUGGGAAAAUGUCUCAAGACAUUUAAAAGCCUGGGAUGAUAACUUAACCUUGGAUAUUUCACAACUUAAAGAGCAAAUCUUUGAGGCUUCACAAGCCCAUUUAUCCACAGUUCCUGGCUCACACAUUUUUGAAGGCAUAACUAAACAAUUACCUGAUUUUAAUCCCUUCAAAUGGCUCAAACCCGUCAGAGGAUCAUUGUUGUUACUGGCAUUAUUAAUAUUGGUAUGCUUAUGUUGUCUCCUUUUAGUCUGCAGAUGCCUCUAAGGAGUCCGAAACCAAGUCCGAAGUCAACAACAAGCAAUGAUGGCGAUGGCGAUUCUAGUUAAUAAAAAGGGGGGAGAUGUGGGCGGCAAGCCACCCAGGCACCGAGGCAAGAGACAGAGGACACGAGCUGUUCCAGUAUAAUAAAAUAUAAAACAAGAAUAGUUAUACCAGAUAUAGAUCUUAGAUAUGAUUAUAUACGAAUAUCAUUAAUCAUGAGUUUGUAGCAAUUACUUUUUAUUCCAAUAUUAUGAUAAUCCUCGCUCUAUAAUCAUAGCCUAGGAAAAACCAGGCCAUACAGAGAUAGGAGCUGAGGGGACAUAGUGAAGUGUGACCAGAAGACAAGAGUGCGAGCCUUCUGUUAUGCCCGGACAGGGCCACCAGAGGGCUCCUUGGUCUAGCGGUGACGCCAGCGUCUGGGAAGACACCCGUUACCAGGCGGAUCGUGGCCCAGCCGUAGCAAAAGGUGUCAAGGAACACCUUUUGCAAAAGGUGUCAACACCCGCUACUUAGCAGACUGGGAAAGGGGGGCGGUCUCCCUUUCCCCGGGGGAGUUUAGAGAAGACUCUGUUCCUCCACCUCUUGUGGAGGGCCUGACAUCAGUCAGGCUUGCCCGUAGUUAUCCGGAGGCCUAACUGUCUCCCUGUGAUGCUGUGCUUCAGUGGUCACGCUCCUAGUCUGCCUUCAUUUUCCAUCCUGUACACCUGGCUCUGCCUUCUAGAUAGCAGUAGUAAAUUAGUGAAAAUACUAAUAGUCCCUGAUAUGCAGAAAUAAUGGCAUAAGCUGUCUUUCUCUCUGUCUCCUCUCCCUCUCUGCCUCGGCUGCCAGGCAGGGAAGGGCCCCCUGUCCAGUGGACACAUGACCCAUGUGACCUUACCUAUCAUUGGAGGUGACUCACAUUCUUUACCCUGCCCCUUCUGCCUUGUAUCCAAUAACAGCGCAGUCAGACAUUCAGGGCCACUACCGGUCUCCGCACAUUGGUGGUAGUGGUCCCCCGGGCCCAGC